UUGUCAUGUGACGGGGCAGCCAGGUAGCUGACGUGGCAUUUCAAAAAGUUAAAAAAAAUAAAAAUAAAAGCUGAAAGGGUGGAGAAUAUAAUAUUUACAUGUUAGAGGUUAAUUUAUCAAGGAUUUUGAUCUAUUUGGUGCUGAUGUGGCACAGUGUAGUGUUAAAAAAAUAAAAGUAAAUGAAGGAUGCAUAUUGCAAACAAGUAUUGUCNNNNNNNNNNNNNNNNNNNNNNNNNNNNNNNNNNNNNNNNNNNNNNNNNNAAGGCUAAAUAUUGGCAAGAGACCGAUAGCGAACAAGUACCGCGAGGAAAAGAUGAAAAGGACUUGAAAAGAGAGUUAAACAGUGCUUGAAAUUGCUGGGAGGAAGCGAAUGGAAGCUGCGGGUGUGCCCCGGUUGGAUGUGGAACGGCUUCGGCUGGUCUGCCGCUCAACGCGGGGCACUGGUCAGCGUGGGCUACUUCGGCGGGACAAGAGCAGGAUGUAGUNUCCUGCCCCCCAUGCCGCCGAGGUGGCCGAGGAACGAAGCGUGCGGCCCCCUCUCGGGGGGGUCGUGGGACUCGUCCCAACUGCACGCUCGGGACGCUGGCGUAUUGAGCUCUUCAUCCGACCCGUCUUGAAACACGGACCAAGGAGUCUAACAUGUAUGCAAGCAGGUGGGCGGCAAACCCAUUGAUGCGCAAGUAAACUGACAGGUGGGACCCCCGUAAAAAAGGGUGCACCAUCGACCGACCGUGAUCUUCUGUGAAAGGUUUGAGUGUGAGCAUACCUGUUGGGACCCGAAAGAUGGUGAACUAUGCCUGAGCAGGGCGAAGCCAGAGGAAACUCUGGUGGAGGCUCGUAGCGAUACUGACGUGCAAAUCGUUCGUCAGACUUGGGUAUAGGGGCGAAAGACUAAUCGAACCAUCUAGUAGCUGGUUCCCUCCGAAGUUUCCCUCAGGAUAGCUGGAGCUCGUGUAAGAGUUUUAUCAGGUAAAGCGAAUGAUUAGAGGCAUCGGGGGUGUAACACCCUCGACCUAUUCUCAAACUUUAAAUAGGUAAGCCGCCGGGGUUGCUUGGUGAACCCCGGCACAGAAUGAGA
rnacentral:ncRNA from 1 species